UGUGCUUAACACAUGCAAGUGGUGCGACGAACCAGAGCUUGCUCUGGGGCAAAGCCGCGAACGGGUGAGUAACACGUGGGUAAUCUACCCCGAUGACCGAGACAACCCGAGGAAACUCGGGCUAAUACCGGAUGUGGUACGGAGGCAUAAGUCUCUUUACUAAAGGUAGCUUCGGCUUCCGCAUUGGGAGGGGCCCGCGGCCCAUUAGCUAGUUGGUGGGGUCAAGGCCUACCAAGGCAACGAUGGGUAGCUGGUCUGAGAGGACGAUCAGCCACACUGGGACUGAGACACGGCCCAGACUCCUACGGGAGGCAGCAGUGGGGAAUCUUGCGCAAUGCGCGAAAGCGUGACGCAGCAACACCGCGUGAGGGAAGACGGCCUUAGGGUUGUAAACCUCUUUCAGAUGGGACGAAGGUGAUGCGGUGAAUAGCCGAUGUCAUUGACGGUACCGUCAGAAGAAGCUCCGGCUAACUACGUG
rnacentral:rRNA from 1 species